rnacentral:lncRNA from 11 species
UGAUCCUCAUCCUUUGAAAACUGUGAACUCUAACGAAUUUGUAAUUAUUAAACCCUUUUUGCUGGCAGGAUUUAAGAUGGACAAAAACUUCACUCCUCUACACAAUCCACGCACAAUCCAUGAUCCCUCAUCCAGCAUGGUCUGGGAUCGGGGCCCUUGAGGAGAGACCCGAUCCGGUCCUGAGAGAACGGACCUUGGCGGAGCCAAAAGGAAAAUACGAGCCACAAUACAACCUGAAGCCGAAAUGAAGAAGGUCCGCCAAAGUUGAAGGAAAAUCCGCCAAGGAGUCUUUAUUGAGCAAUUCAGCUGAAGAGGACUCUGGUAGCGAUCAUUCGACUUACCAGCAGCCCCAUACAAUCAAAAUAAAGCCAUACUUAUACAAAAUUUCAGUCUGACAGCCCUUUGAAUUUCUC